rnacentral:lncRNA from 1 species
GUAAGUGUAAAAGAUUGCAUAUUCAGGUUUUAUCUUUUACAAAUAAGGCUUUUAAAAUGUCAGCUGUGGUGACACAAAACUAAAGGGUGAAUUUGAUUUCUUGUAACUUAAAAAUACUUAAAUAUGGAAUAGCCUUCCCUUUCUUAUCGUUCACUGCCAAGCCUUCGAUUCUUCAUGCCAUCCUGUUGUUUUACACUAAGAGACUCCCUGGGUGAUGGAUUGGCUGUCAAGAGCUGGAAGGAAGAGAUGGAGCUGUAACAGAGACAGAAGAACCAGGGGAAAUUACCACUUCCACUUCCCCAUUUGGUGAAUGCUGCCAUCUUCUGGAUAUUCUUAAUGACAUGAUCCACUUGAACCUGACACAGCAUGAUGCACUAAAUUCCUAGCACAUUGCUCUUAUGGUGCC